GGUUUUGUGGAAACUCUGAGUUUGUUAACCCCGGAAUGAGGAAAACUCAGACUUUUCGGUUUCAGAAAGCGGGGUUACUUAAACCCGUAAAGCGGGGUAAAUUUAAGCCCGUUUCAAGAAGCGAGGUAACCGAAACUCAGAGUCAGUUACUAUGGCAACUUACUCUGUGAACCUAAUCUGGUCGCGAGCAGGGUUUAUUUGGGAAACCCAGAGUUUCCUUCGGUCUCCGCACCUUUUUAAAGUGAACAGUGUUUAAAUACCUCGUUUAAUCUUUCAUUUCAUUCAUAGAUUUCACCUGUUUCCUUCGCGCAGAGACCAAAAUGUCCGUUUCUAGAGGAUCCUGUAGAUGAGGACGCUGUAUUAAUUCACACGACGUUGAAUUUACGCCGCGAGAGGAUUUUAACGCCACAAGUUAAUUUUCUGUCAUAUCGCCGUGCAUAUUUAUUUUAGCGGUACCGUUUUUAUCGAGACUCCAUACAUACAUUAAUAAUCUUAUUCACCCAUACGUCAAACACAUCAUCCAUCGUGGCCGUGCUUUUACAUCCGAACAGAUUCUUUGUGUUGCGUUACGUUUUUUUUGCAAACGGUAGUUUUCUUUAUAACAUUGGAGAUGCUGAGCACAUUAGUAAAGCCACUGUAUGUAGAAAAGUUCGACCUCAAGCGCUUUCCUUGACACAAACUCCUUAAAGCCAUUAAAGAGGAGUUUCACAGGAUUGCAGGAGAGAUUGACAGCUUUCUGCUGGAGAUAGGGGUUACCCAUGAAGGCGCACACUACUGACGCCUGACCCAGAACCUGAAGCAGGCCCCCAGCAGCGCUUUAAUGUGGCACUGCAGAACAAGAGCCCGGGUGGAAAUGACCAUAGGCCUGUUGAAAGCACGACUUCAGUGUCUACGUCACCUCAGGGAAACACCUGAGAGGCCUGUGACAUUAAUGUGACAUGUGUUGUUCUCCACAUUAUUGCAAUUAUUAGAGAGGAGCAACACCCUGCCCUACGAAUACAAGACCCCGAGGAAGACUCCUUCCAUUACAGUAAUCUGCAGAGUGGAUGGACAGAUUUGCUUUAAUGUCUUAAUCAACCAUCACCACCACCACCAAUAAAAGAAACUGAACAGAUGUAAAUCAUAAUUUAUUUGUUUUUUUUUUCAUUUCCUACAAAUACAAAGGUAAAUGUUAGAUUUUAUGAUUCUUCCAAUAAUUCAUACAAUUCACCUUUAACUAUACACUCAUCUCCAGCUUUUGUUUGGGAAUUUCAAUUUCUAGAUCUGGCUUCUCAAUCUUGUGAUACAAGUAUACCAUUUCCUUGAGAUUUAGUUUAUACAACUCAAUAACCGGUAACUUAAAAUACAGAAGAUUUAGAGUUACAUGACAUCUUGACAUGACAUGUUCCUCAUUACUCUUACAGAAUUGAACUCUGGCAUUUACUGAACAUCACUGAACCGUGUGCAUCUGUGCAGCAAAUGUGACUGACCUCCUCCUGCGAGGUGCAGGUCCUCCACCAGUUGUUCUAGCCUCUGCCUUCUUUCUGUUGGCUGAGUAGAAGUCAAAUGUUUAACUGUG